rnacentral:rRNA from 1 species
UACGAAGGGGGCUAGCGUUGCUCGGAAUCACUGGGCGUAAAGCGCACGUAGGCGGAUUGCUAAGUCAGGGGUGAAAUCCUGGAGCUCAACUCCAGAACUGCCUUUGAUACUGGCGAUCUUGAGUCCGGGAGAGGUGAGUGGAACUGCGAGUGUAGAGGUGAAAUUCGUAGAUAUUCGCAAGAACACCAGUGGCGAAGGCGGCUCACUGGUCCGGUACUGACGCUGAGGUGCGAAAGCGUGGGGAGCAAACAGGG